CCUACGGGUGGCAGCAGUCGAGAAUCAUUCACAAUGGGGGAAACCCUGAUGGGGCGACGCCGCGUGGGGGAAUGAAGGUCUGCGGAUUGUAAACCCCUGUCAUGUGGGAGCAAAUUAAAAAGAUAGUACCACAAGAGGAAGAGACGGCUAACUCUGUGCCAGCAGCCGCGGUAAUACAGAGGGCUCAAGCGUUGUUCGGAAUCACUGGGCGUAAGGGGUGCGUAGGCUGUUUCGUAAGGCGUGUGUGAAAGGCGCGGGCUCAACCCGCGGACGGCACAUGAUACUGCGAGACUAGAGUAAUGGAGGGGGAACCGGAAUUCUCGGUGUAGCAGUGAAAUGCGUAGAUAUCGAGAGGAACACUCGUGGCGAAGGCGGGUUCCUGGACAUUAACUGACGCUGAGGCACGAAGGCCAGGGGAGCGAAAGGGAUUAGAUACCCUGGUAGUC
rnacentral:rRNA from 1 species